UACGGGGGGGGGCAAGCGUUGUUCGGAAUUACUGGGCGUAAAGGGCUCGUAGGCGGCCAACUAAGUCAGACGUGAAAUCCCUCGGCUUAACCGGGGAACUGCGUCUGAUACUGGAUGGCUUGAGGUUGGGAGAGGGAUGCGGAAUUCCAGGUGUAGCGGUGAAAUGCGUAGAUAUCUGGAGGAACACCGGUGGCGAAGGCGGCAUCCUGGACCAAUUCUGACGCUGAGGAGCGAAAGCCAGGGGGAGCAAACGGG
rnacentral:rRNA from 1 species